UUAAGCGACUAAGCGUACACGGUGGAUGCCCUGGCAGUCAGAGGCGAUGAAGGACGUGCUAAUCUGCGAAAAGCGUCGGUAAGGUGAUAUGAACCGUUACAGCCGGCGAUGUCCGAAUGGGGAAACCCAGUGCAAUUCGUUGCACUAUCGUUAACUGAAUACAUAGGUUAACGAGGCGAACCGGGGGAACUGAAACAUCUAAGUACCCCGAGGAAAAGAAAUCAACCGAGAUUCCCCCAGUAGCGGCGAGCGAACGGGGAGCAGCCCAGAGUCUGAAUCAGCUUGUGUGUUAGUGGAACGGUCUGGAAAGUCCGACGGUACAGGGUGAUAGUCCCGUACACCAAAAUGCACAGGUUGUGAACUCGAAGAGUAGGGCGGGACACGUGGUAUCCUGUCUGAAUAUGGGGGGACCAUCCUCCAAGGCUAAAUACUCCUGACUGACCGAUAGUGAACCAGUACCGUGAGGGAAAGGCGAAAAGAACCCCGGCGAGGGGAGUGAAAAAGAACCUGAAACCGUGUACGUACAAGCAGUGGGAGCACCUUCGGGUGUGACUGCGUACCUUUUGUAUAAUGGGUCAGCGACUUAUAUUCUGUAGCAAGGUUAACCGUAUAGGGGAGCCGCAGGGAAACCGAGUCUUAACUGGGCGUUAAGUUGCAGGGUAUAGACCCGAAACCCGGUGAUCUAGCCAUGGGCAGGUUGAAGGUUGGGUAACACUAACUGGAGGACCGAACCGACUAAUGUUGAAAAAUUAGCGGAUGACUUGUGGCUGGGGGUGAAAGGCCAAUCAAACCGGGAGAUAGCUGGUUCUCCCCGAAAGCUAUUUAGGUAGCGCCUCGUGAACUCAUCUUCGGGGGUAGAGCACUGUUUCGGCUAGGGGGUCAUCCCGACUUACCAACCCGAUGCAAACUACGAAUACCGAAGAAUGUUAUCACGGGAGACACACGGCGGGUGCUAACGUCCGUCGUGAAGAGGGAAACAACCCAGACCGCCAGCUAAGGUCCCAAAGUCAUGGUUAAGUGGGAAACGAUGUGGGAAGGCACAGACAGCCAGGAUGUUGGCUUAGAAGCAGCCAUCAUUUAAAGAAAGCGUAAUAGCUCACUGGUCGAGUCGGCCUGCGCGGAAGAUGUAACGGGGCUAAACCAUGCACCGAAGCUGCGGCAGCGACGCUUAUGUGUUGUUGGGUAGGGGAGCGUUCUGUAAGCCUGCGAAGGUGGCCUGUGAGGGUUGCUGGAGGUAUCAGAAGUGCGAAUGCUGACAUAAGUAACGAUAAAGCGGGUGAAAAGCCCGCUCGCCGGAAGACCAAGGGUUCCUGUCCAACGUUAAUCGGGGCAGGGUGAGUCGACCCCUAAGGCGAGGCCGAAAGGCGUAGUCGAUGGGAAACAGGUUAAUAUUCCUGUACUUGGUGUUACUGCGAAGGGGGGACGGAGAAGGCUAUGUUAGCCGGGCGACGGUUGUCCCGGUUUAAGCAUGUAGGCGGAGGUUCCAGGUAAAUCCGGUACCUUUUAACGCUGAGGUGUGAUGACGAGGCACUACGGUGCUGAAGUAACAAAUGCCCUGCUUCCAGGAAAAGCCUCUAAGCAUCAGGUAACAUCAAAUCGUACCCCAAACCGACACAGGUGGUCAGGUAGAGAAUACCAAGGCGCUUGAGAGAACUCGGGUGAAGGAACUAGGCAAAAUGGUGCCGUAACUUCGGGAGAAGGCACGCUGGUGUGUAGGUGAAGUCCCUGCGGAUGGAGCUGAGACCAGUCGAAGAUACCAGCUGGCUGCAACUGUUUAUUAAAAACACAGCACUGUGCAAACACGAAAGUGGACGUAUACGGUGUGACGCCUGCCCGGUGCCGGAAGGUUAAUUGAUGGGGUUAUCCGUAAGGAGAAGCUCUUGAUCGAAGCCCCGGUAAACGGCGGCCGUAACUAUAACGGUCCUAAGGUAGCGAAAUUCCUUGUCGGGUAAGUUCCGACCUGCACGAAUGGCGUAAUGAUGGCCAGGCUGUCUCCACCCGAGACUCAGUGAAAUUGAACUCGCUGUGAAGAUGCAGUGUACCCGCGGCAAGACGGAAAGACCCCGUGAACCUUUACUAUAGCUUGACACUGAACAUUGAGCCUUGAUGUGUAGGAUAGGUGGGAGGCUUUGAAGCGUGGACGCCAGUCUGCGUGGAGCCAACCUUGAAAUACCACCCUUUAAUGUUUGAUGUUCUAACGUUGGCCCCUUAUCGGGGUUGCGGACAGUGUCUGGUGGGUAGUUUGACUGGGGCGGUCUCCUCCCAAAGAGUAACGGAGGAGCACGAAGGUUAGCUAAUCCUGGUCGGACAUCAGGAGGUUAGUGCAAUGGCAUAAGCUAGCUUGACUGCGAGCGUGACGGCGCGAGCAGGUGCGAAAGCAGGUCAUAGUGAUCCGGUGGUUCUGAAUGGAAGGGCCAUCGCUCAACGGAUAAAAGGUACUCCGGGGAUAACAGGCUGAUACCGCCCAAGAGUUCAUAUCGACGGCGGUGUUUGGCACCUCGAUGUCGGCUCAUCACAUCCUGGGGCUGAAGUAGGUCCCAAGGGUAUGGCUGUUCGCCAUUUAAAGUGGUACGCGAGCUGGGUUUAGAACGUCGUGAGACAGUUCGGUCCCUAUCUGCCGUGGGCGCUGGAGAAUUGAGGGGGGCUGCUCCUAGUACGAGAGGACCGGAGUGGACGCAUCACUGGUGUUCGGGUUGUCAUGCCAAUGGCACUGCCCGGUAGCUAAAUGCGGAAGAGAUAAGUGCUGAAAGCAUCUAAGCACGAAACUUGCCCCGAGAUGAGUUCUCCCUGAGACUUUAAGUCUCCUGAAGGAACGUUGAAGACGACGACGUUGAUAGGCCGGGUGUGUAAGCGCAGCGAUGCGUUGAGCUAACCGGUACUAAUGAACCGUGAGGCUUAACCUU
rnacentral:rRNA from 1 species